GUGGAGGAGCCGGUGGACAUCACGCCUUUCCUGGACCAGCUGGACGAGUCCUUGAAGGACAAAGUCCUGUUGCUGCAGAAGGGCAGCGACACGGAAGCCCAGUGUGAGGUCAUGCAGGAAAUCGUGGAUCAAGUCCUGGAGGACGACUUUGACUCGGAGCAGCUGUCCAUCCUCGCCUCCUGCCUGCAGGAGCUCUUCAAGGCUCACUUCCGCGGGGAGGUCUUGCCGGAGGAGAUCACGGAGGAGUAUGUCUCCGGCUCGUCCUUCCCUGCUGGC